GUUCUGCUGAAACCAGUCACCAUCAGAAGUCCCAGGAGUUAAAGUGUCACGUGAUCUCGGUAGAAAUACGCCGGUCAGUGCUAAAAACAAGAGAAAAACAAAACGAUUCUGGAAAAAGUUUCCGUAAACAAAGAUAAUAAUAUUCGAACAUUUCGCAGAACUUUUAAAAUCCAUUAUUUAAAAAAAAAAAAAAAAAAAAAAAUGUGGCACAACCACGAGUCUACAACGCUGAACACGAUGCUGCCACCACCAUGCUUCGCAGAACGCAGCAGGAUCUCAGAGCGCUUGUCCGUAGUGUGUGAACGUGUGUGUGACCGUGCCCCGCGUUGGGUCAGCACCCCGUCCAGUGUGUUGCCCCCAGCUCCGUGCCCCGACUCCCCUGGGGUAAACUCCAGGCUCCGUGCGAUCCUGCGUAGGAUAAGCGUCAGAGAACAUGGAUGGAUGGAACGAACUUGAACACGCCACGUAACGAUCCGUUAGGGUUCAAGAAUGUUGCUAGGAGACCAGCACGUAUAUAAACGCCUUCCUUAUCGCAGAUACAUUCAACUCGGAAAAAGAUCGACUUCCUGUUACAAAUCCGCUCGGUUUAGCGAGCGUCUCAUGAGCGGCUGCGACCGCUUCCCUCUUCCGCAGAGCACAAAAGCGUCUCGUCCACAAAGCCGUGUCAUCCAGGGUGAAAAGCGGCGAGACGGAUGAGCGUUCCUCCCUCGUCUCGUCUCGUCUCGCUGGCCGCCUGUGUUUGACAGCCCGAGCGUUCCGAGGCCGCUCCGGCCGAGCGGGCGCUCUGAGUGGAGCGCCGGUGCGGAAAAACACACCCUCUUUCUCUCUCCUCGCGCUUUCUCACAUUUGAUUAUCUCCUUCUCCCACGGUUCAGGAAGAAAAGAGGACCUCUUGUCAGUUUUCAAGGGUCGAUUGUUGCGUUUUCUCCAAAGAAAAGGCCGCUGCGUGUCAAAUUUUAUUUAGAGGGGUUUUUCGUUUGUGUUUUUUUUUUUUUCUUGGAGAGAGAGAGAGAGAGAGACGUGUGUGUGGAGUCAACGAGGCCGUGUCAUGUUAGCGUUCGGGGAUCUUUAUCUAGCUCUACGUACGGCAUACUUGCACCUGUGGUGAAACAGGAAGUGUGGGCAAAUCCGAAAUGAUUCUGUACGCACGCACGGCAUCAAAAAAGUUUUCACAUAAACACGUGACGUUUUACAUUUCAGCGACGCAAAACGUUUCAAACGCAAAUCAAACCCGGAUACAGUUUGUAGCUGCUUUGUUAUCGUUCCUAUCAGCGAGUUAUUAGCGGUAAGCGCUUUCCUGCAUCUCGAUCGUAGACGCGGUACUUCCUGUUCGCGUCCGAUCGCGUUCCUGAUUGGCUGGCAAUGCCGACCGCUUUACGCGACGCUUUUCAUGAGGUACCCGCGGUCAUGUGACCUGUAGUGGUAAUGGGAAUACUUCGAUAGCAUGUGCUGUACACUUACAUACUGUACAGCGCAGGAUGUCUUAAUUAGCAUAUUGUCGCCAAGUCUUGCGAUGAAAUUCGCCUCAGGAUUACUUCAGCUUCAUUGUCUGAGGAUUUUCACCAACAUCAUGAGGUAAAAUGUGUGACAAAGUCAAGAUUUAUGUCAUUCAAAAACCCUUUUAGUCUUCCGGGAAAGAACGUGUCGUAAAUACAGUAAUGUCUCAACCAGCCUAACUAGCUAACUAACCGGUUAAAAGGAUUAAAGAGAUUAUGAGGGGAAAUGUUCAUAUUAAAUCUGUUAAGCGAGUAAUACCUGACGCAGGCACGACAGUAAGCAGAACAGGAUUAGUGUUAGCAUUAGCGUCUUCGCAAAGACAAUGAAAAGGGUUCCGUUAAGAACCUUUUCUGAUUGGAAAGCCAUCCGUGUCAGGGUUCUACGUCACGGUUUCAGAGAAGGGAAAAAAGGGUUGUUUUUGCAGAUUUUACGAGUCUAAACAGGUUCUACUUGGAACCUUUUGUGGACUUUCUCUUUCAGGGAUCUACAUACAAGCUUUAAAGACAAAACAGGAACGUGUGUACUGACACAGAUGUAAAAAAAGAAGAAAAAAAAGAAAAGUGCUCUUUAAGGGUUCUUUGAAGGUUCUUUAAGGGUUCUUUGAAGGUUCUUUAAGGGUUCUUGGAUAACUGUUCUAGUUUUAUUUUAUUUUAUUUUCUUAAAAAGGAGUUCUACUUGGAACCUUUUCUGGAACCUUCACAGGAACCUACGAUUGUGCUCUCGCAGAUGCUGUUCAUAAGUUUGGAUGUAAAAACUGUUCUGAAAGGAGAACCGUCUGUUGUAAGGAUCUACACAGAACCUUGACCCGAAGAUCUUCGGAACGUACUUGAACAGAUCCAUGGCUGCUUUUUUCGUCUCCGAUGGCGACCUGGAUGGUUAAAGUGUCUAAUUUUCUAAAGGGGUUCUACGUGGAACCGGUUCUGAAAGGAGGAACCAUGGAUUUCGCCAAAUGAACACAUUUCAGGUGGAACGGAGUCUUUCCAAUGGAGUCGACUUUCCAGUUUCCAAGUUCUUCCGGAGCGCGGAUCACGGAGAGAACUUUGGGGUUCCGUUAAGAGCCGCAACCUGGCUGAAAAGGAGAGCAAACAGGAAACGACAAACACAAAGAAAGAAGAGAGAAAUGGAAAAAGGAAGCAGAUGUCAGAGCCGAUGGUAGUGUAAGGACACUCGGCCCUGGCGCUUAACGCUAGCACUGCGCACUUAUUAGUGCCGAACAGGGAGCGACGACUUUUCAAUCCCAGCCAUGAUUUGUUUCUGUAUUCCAUUUUCCGAUGGAAGGAUGAGAUGGAAUUUCGCCCCCCUUUAUUCCCUAUACAGCGAUGUCCUGUAAUAGGUUCUCACCGAUACGAAGGCUGGCUAAAAUAGAAAAUUCAACACGUGUACGUUUGUGUCACAGCUGAAAAUAUUACCUCAGAAAUGCACUCCUGUGGCUGAAAUUUAAAUUCCCUUUUUUUUUUCUUUCUCCUGCCACAUGUUUCUGUGUGUGUGUGUGUGUGCGUG
ensembl:lncRNA